rnacentral:misc_RNA from 1 species
GUAGGUGAACCUGCGGAAGGAUCAUUAACACGUAUCCACGUUUAUCACCCGAGAAUUAUCUUAGGAUUAAACUUAUUCGAGUAAAGCCUGACGCGACUUCUCCGCUUUUCGAGGGACUUUCUUUUUUCCAGGUCAGCCGCUCUUCAAAAGUUCGCUUUUGAGGGUAUGUGGUUCAUGGAAAGAGGAGGGACCUUUGAGAGGGGGGGAAUGAGUGUUGAGCCUGGCCCCACUUAACUGUGUGGGCCAUUGAAUUCGUUUUCCUUUGUUUGUACACAUUUACUUUGUUUCCUUCCUUUCGGGGAAGAUGACUUCGUAACUGAGUACCAACAUACCCUUUGAGGACUUCGGUUCUCCUAGGGUAACGGUAAACCCCAUUUUUUCUCAACUAAAGGCCGUCUCUUUGUAGACCGCUUUUAACCGAAUGCUGUACAACUCUUAGCAACGGAUAUCUUGGUUCUG